AGUGUGCUCAACAACCGGGAUCACUAGAAUGUGGCUACCACGUCAUGCGUUUUAUGUACGACAUAAUAAUGAAUCAUGGUAAUAGUCAAGAUCUUACUAAGGAUUUUUCAAGAACAUUGCCUUAUUCACCGGAGGAGAUUAAUGAGGUGAAAGAUUUUUGGGCAGAUUACUUCAUGAACAAUGUCGACUUUUAGCUUAAUUUGUAAUAUGAACUCGAUCUCUAGCUAGAUACCUUUGUUGUAGUAAUUUUAUGUUUGUUGUAACAUGUUGGUUGAUCUAUGACGAAUUUAAUUGCCUUUUAUUGGGAACGUUAAUUACGUUGUAAACUAUUGUGACAGGUAUUAUUUAUAAAUGUAUUCCCGGUAUUGGGAAGCGUCUACUUUCAAA